rnacentral:rRNA from 1 species
UAGGGAAUCUUCCACAAUGGACGCAAGUCCGAUGGAGCAACGCCGCGUGAGUGAAGAAGGUUUUCGGACCGUAAAGCUCUGUUGUUGGUGAAGAAGGAUAGAGGUAGUAACUGGCCUUUAUUUGACGGUAAUCAACCAGAAAGUCACGGCUAACUACGUGCCAGCAGCCGCGGUAAUACGUAGGUGGCAAGCGUUGUCCGGAUUUAUUGGGCGUAAAGCGAGCGCAGGCGGAAGAAUAAGUCUGAUGUGAAAGCCCUUGGCUUAACCGAGGAAUUGCAUCGGAAACU